rnacentral:rRNA from 1 species
CCCUUAGAUGUUCUGGGCAGCACGCGCGCUACAAUGGUCUUCGCAAACGGAUGCAUUCUCGAAGGAGAAUGCCAAUCUUGGAAUCUAUGCCUUGGUCGGGACAGUAGCUUGCAAUUUUUCGACUCGAACCAGGAAUUCCUUGUAAUCGUGAUUCAUCACAUCACGAUGAAUACGUCCCUGCCCUUUGUACACACCGCCCGUCGCUCCUACCGAUCGAAGAGUUAGGUGAAUUGUUUUGAUCGAUAAGAUUUGACUAUGGUCAACUCUCGUUGUGAAAUUCUGUGAAUCUGACUGUUUAGAGGAAGGAAAAGUCGUAACA